rnacentral:rRNA from 1 species
AGAGUUUGAUCAUGGCUCAGAACAAACGCUGGCGGCGUGUCUUAAGCAUGCAAGUUGAGCGGCAAGGGGGAGCGAUCCCCCCUAGAGCGGCGGACUGGUGAGUAACACGUGGAUGAUCUACCCGAGGCAUGGGGAUAGUCACUAGAAAUAGUGGGUAAUACCGAAUACGGUGCGCAUCGUGAGGGUGCGCAAGAAAGGUGCUACGGCACCGGCCUAGGAUGAGUCUGCGUCCCAUUAGCUGGUUGGUGAGGUAAGAGCCCACCAAGGCGAUGAUGGGUAGCCGGCCUGAGAGGGUGUACGGCCACACUGGGACUGAGAUACGGCCCAGACUCCUACGGGAGGCAGCAGCUAAGAAUAUUCCGCAAUGGACGAAAGUCUGACGGAGCGACGCCGCGUGGAUGAAGAAGGCCGAAAGGUUGUAAAGUUCUUUUGUUGGGGAAGAAUAACCAUGGGAGGGAAUGCCCGUGGGAUGACAUGAACCGACGAAUAAGCCCCGGCUAACUACGUGCCAGCAGCCGCGGUAACACGUAGGGGGCGAGCGUUGUUCGGAAUUACUGGGCGUAAAGGGCAUGUAGGCGGUCUUGUAAGCUUGGCGUGAAAGACCACGGCUCAACCGUGGGAUUGCGUUGAGAACUGCGAGGCUUGAGUGACGGAGAGGGAGCUAGAAUUCCUGGUGUAGGGGUGGAAUCUGUAGAGAUCAGGAAGAAUACCAAUGGCGAAGGCAAGCUCCUGGCCGAUGACUGACGCUGAGGUGCGAAAGUGUGGGGAUCAAACAGGAUUAGAUACCCUGGUAGUCCACACUGUAAACGGUGUGCACUAGGUGCUGGUACGGAUGUAUCAGUGCCGUAGCUAACGUGAUAAGUGCACCGCCUGGGGAGUAUGCUCGCAAGGGUGAAACUCAAAUGAAUUGACGG